CGCUAGUUAAUUAGCACAUUAUUCCAAUUUCCACAGGACUUGACCUUAAAAAUAUUUGUCCUUUUUUCAAUUACACAAACUACAAGUUACCUUUUACCAUCUAAGACAGUAAUGAAGCUGAAUCAUAGAGUAGCCACAUAUUGAGAAAUGGUCCUCUAAUAUAGGUUGUCUUUCUACUAUAUACUAUAUAAUAUAUAAACAGGCCCAAAUAACUAAUACUAGCAAUAUACUUUAAACUUAACCAUCUCUAUUAGUAUA
rnacentral:lncRNA from 1 species